CCUACGGGAGGCAGCAGUGGGGAAUAUUGGACAAUGGGCGAAAGCCUGAUCCAGCAAUGCCGCGUGAGUGAUGAAGGCCUUCGGGUCGUAAAGCUCUUUUACCAGGGAUGAUAAUGACAGUACCUGGAGAAUAAGCUCCGGCUAACUCCGUGCCAGCAGCCGCGGUAAUACGGAGGGAGCUAGCGUUGUUCGGAAUUACUGGGCGUAAAGAGUACGUAGGCGGUUAUUCAAGUCAGAGGUGAAAGCCCGGGGCUCAACCCCGGAACUGCCUUUGAAACUAGAUAGCUAGAGUCUUGGAGAGGUUAGUGGAAUUCCGAGUGUAGAGGUGAAAUUCGUAGAUAUUCGGAAGAACACCAGUGGCGAAGGCGACUAACUGGACAAGUACUGACGCUGAGGUACGAAAGCGUGGGGAGCAAACAGGAUUAGAUACCCUGGUAGUCCACGCCGUAAACGAUGAUAACUAGUUGUUCGGUCACUUGGUGACUGAGUGACGCAGCUAACGCAUUAAGUUAUCCGCCUGGGGAGUACGGUCGCAAGAUUAAAACUCAAAUGAAUUGACGGCUGNGAGNGCGAGCGACGACGAGGAGAG
rnacentral:rRNA from 1 species